AAUCAACGCUGGCGGCGUGCCUCAGACAUGCAAGUCGAACGAUUAAACUUCCCUUCGGGGAAGAUAUAAAGUGGCGCACGGGUGAGUAACACGUAAGUAAUCUACCUUCGAGUGGGGAAUAACAUCGGGAAACCGAUGCUAAUACCGCAUAACGCAGCGGCACCUAAUGGUGACAGUUGUUAAAGGAGCAAUUCGCUUGAAGAGGAGCUUGCGGCAGAUUAGCUAGUUGGUAAGGUAAUGGCUUAUCAAGGCUUCGAUCUGUAUCCGGUCUAAGAGGACGGUCGGACACACUGACACUGAAUAACGGGUCAGACUCCUACGGGAGGCAGCAGUCGGGAAUUUUGGGCAAUGGGCGAAAGCCUGACCCAGCAACGCCGCGUGAAGGAUGAAGUAUUUCGGUAUGUAAACUUCGAAAGAAUGGGAAGAACUCAAUGACGGUACCAUUUAUAAGCUCCGGCUAACUACGUGCCAGCCGCCGCGGUAAAAC
rnacentral:rRNA from 1 species